AGUGAACGCUGGCGGUAGGCCUGACACAUGCAAGUCGAACGGCAGCACAGUAAGAGCUUGCUCUUACGGGUGGCGAGUGGCGGACGGGUGAGGAAUACAUCGGAAUCUACUUUUUCGUGGGGGAUAACGUAGGGAAACUUACGCUAAUACCGCAUACGACCUACGGGUGAAAGCAGGGGAUCUUCGGACCUUGCGCGAUUGAAUGAGCCGAUGUCGGAUUAGCUAGUUGGCGGGGUAAAGGCCCACCAAGGCGACGAUCCGUAGCUGGUCUGAGAGGAUGAUCAGCCACACUGGAACUGAGACACGGUCCAGACUCCUACGGGAGGCAGCAGUGGGGAAUAUUGGACAAUGGGCGCAAGCCUGAUCCAGCCAUACCGCGUGGGUGAAGAAGGCCUUCGGGUUGUAAAGCCCUUUUGUUGGGAAAGAAAAGCAGCAGGUUAAUACCACGCUGUUCUGACGGUACCCAAAGAAUAAGCACCGGCUAACUUCGUG
rnacentral:rRNA from 1 species